rnacentral:rRNA from 1 species
AUUGAACGCUGGCGGCAUGCCUUACACAUGCAAGUCGAACGGCAGCACGGGUGCUUGCACCUGGUGGCGAGUGGCGAACGGGUGAGUAAUACAUCGGAACGUACCUUAUCGUGGGGGAUAACGCAGCGAAAGCUGUGCUAAUACCGCAUACGCCCUGAGGGGGAAAGCGGGGGAUCGAAAGACCUCGCGCGAUUAGAGCGGCCGAUGCCUGAUUAGCUUGUUGGUGGGGUAAAAGCCCACCAAGGCGACGAUCAGUAGCUGGUCUGAGAGGACGAUCAGCCACACUGGGACUGAGACACGGCCCAGACUCCUACGGGAGGCAGCAGUGGGGAAUUUUGGACAAUGGGGGCAACCCUGAUCCAGCAAUGCCGCGUGAGUGAAGAAGGCCUUCGGGUUGUAAAGCUCUUUUGUCAGGGAAGAAACACCGGCU